UCUUGUCUCAGACCAGUGGUGGGCACAGUUCAGCUAAUUCGAUAGCAGAUAAUGAUCGAAGCCAAUGUUUUUGCUAGCGGAUUAGCUUUUCAGAUACGUUUUAAGACAUCAUCGGAUCAAUUAUCAUCGGAUAAAUUUAUUUCAGAUAACUUUCAGCCCGAUAAUAUAUAUAUUUUUUUUUUUGCUGGUAAAGUG